rnacentral:rRNA from 1 species
AUUGAACGCUGGCGGCAUGCCUUACACAUGCAAGUCGAACGGCAGCACGGGAGCAAUCCUGGUGGCGAGUGGCGAACGGGUGAGUAAGGUAUCGGAACGUGCCCAGUCGUGGGGGAUAACGUAGCGAAAGUUACGCUAAUACCGCAUACGAUCUAUGGAUGAAAGCGGGGGAUCGCAAGCCCUCGCUCGAUUGGAGCGGCCGAUAUCAGAUUAGGUAGUUGGUGGGGUAAAGGCUCACCAAGCCGACGAUCUGUAGCUGGUCUGAGAGCACGACCAGCCACACUGGAACUGAGACACGGUCCAGACUCCUACGGGAGGCAGCAGUGGGGAAUUUUGGACAAUGGGCGAAAGCCUGAUCCAGCCAUUCCGCGUGCAGGAUGAAGGCCCUCGGGUUGUAAACUGCUUUUGUACAGAACGAAAAGGUUUCUACUAAUACUAGGAGCUCAUGACGGUACUGUAAGAAUAAGCACCGGCUAACUACGUGCCAGCCGCCGCCGUAA